UACGUAGGGUGCGAGCGUUAAUCGGAUUUACUGGGCGUAAAGCGUGCGCAGGCGGUUUUGUAAGCCAGAUGUGAAAUCCCCGGGCUUAACCUGGGAAUGGCAUUUGGGACUGCAAGGCUGGAGUACGGCAGAGGAGACUGGAAUUCCUGGUGUAGCAGUGAAAUGCGUAGAGAUCAGGAGGAAUACCGAUGGCGAAGGCAGGUCUCUGGGCUGAUACUGACGCUCAUGCACGAAAGCGUGGGGAGCAAACAGG
rnacentral:rRNA from 1 species